UAGGGAAUCUUCCACAAUGGACGCAAGUCUGAUGGAGCAACGCCGCGUGAGUGAAGAAGGUUUUCGGAUCGUAAAGCUCUGUUGUUGGUGAUGAAGGAUAGAGGUAGUAACUGGCCUUUAUUUGACGGUAAUCAACCAGAAAGUCACGGCUAACUACGUGCCAGCAGCCGCGGUAAUACGUAGGUGGCAAGCGUUGUCCGGAUUUAUUGGGCGUAAAGCGAGCGCAGGCGGAAGAAUAAGUCUGAUGUGAAAGCCCUCGGCUUAACCGCGGAACUGCAUCGGAAACUGUUUUUAUUGAGUGCAGAAGAGGAGAGUGGAAUUCCAUGUGUAGCGGUGGAAUGCGUAGAUAUAUGGAAGAACACCAGUGGCGAAGGCGACUCUCUGGUCUGCAACUGACGCUGAGGCUCGAAAGCAUGGGUAGCGAACAGG
rnacentral:rRNA from 1 species